rnacentral:lncRNA from 1 species
CUUGUCUUCUUAAGAACAGAUCGAUUCGCUGUUUUAAUUCUGCUUUGUUUGAAGUUCUCCGCAUGAGAGCUGAAGAUGCAAGACUA